UACAGCGAAAUCAAAUGAACAUUAUUGGUUUUGAAGUAAUUAAUAUUAUUUUUAUAAAUGGGAAUUGAGAAAAAUUAUUAUAAGGUGAAAUAUUUAUAAUGUCUUGAGGUAUAUUUAUUUUUGUAUGAUUGUUAUGAAAGUAAAAAUAUAAACUAGGAUUAGAUACCCUAUUAUUUUUAUUGUAAAAUUUGAAACUUGAGUAUUAGUAGUUAAGGUCUUGAAACUUAAAGAAUUUGGCGGUAUUAUAGUCUAUUUAGAGGAAUCUGUUAUGUAAUCGAUAGUCCACGUUGAACCUUACUUAUAUUAUUUCUUGUAUACCGCUGUUUGAGAAUAUACUUUUAGGUUAUUUUCUUAAUAUAUUAUUAAUUAAAAUUUCAGGUCAAGGUGCAGUAAUAUAUAAGUUGAAUAAUGGAUUACAAUAAAUUUUAUUUAUAUGGAUUGUUAUUGAAAUAUAAUUUGAAGGUGGAUUUAAUUGUAAUUUUUUAAAGAUUAUUAAAAUGAUUAAUAGCUCUAUAAUAUGUACACAUCGCCCGUCGCUCUCGUUAUUAAGAUGAG
rnacentral:rRNA from 1 species